rnacentral:rRNA from 1 species
GUGAGGAAUAUUGGUCAAUGGACGAGAGUCUGAACCAGCCAAGUCGCGUGAAGGAAGAAGGAUCUAUGGUUCGUAAACUUCUUUUGCAGGGGAAUAAAGUGCAGGACGUGUCCUGUUUUGUAUGUACCCUGAGAAUAAGGAUCGGCUAACUCCGUGCCAGCAGCCGCGGUAAUACGGAGGAUCCGAGCGUUAUCCGGAUUUAUUGGGUUUAAAGGGUGCGUAGGUGGUUUGAUAAGUCAGCGGUGAAAGUUUGCAGCUUAACUGUAAAAAUGCCGUUGAAACUGUCGGACUUGAGUGUAAAUGAGGUAGGCGGAAUGCGUGGUGUAGCGGUGAAAUGCAUAGAUAUCACGCAGAACUACGAUUGCGAAGGCAGCUUACUAAGCUACAACUGACACUGAAGCACGAAAGCGUGGGGAUCAAACAGGAUUAGAAACCCCUGUAGUCC